rnacentral:rRNA from 1 species
GACGAACGCUGGCGGCGUGCUUAACACAUGCAAGUCGAACGGAAAGGCCCUGCUUUUGUGGGGUGCUCGAGUGGCGAACGGGUGAGUAACACGUGAGUAACCUGCCCUUGACUUUGGGAUAACUUCAGGAAACUGGGGCUAAUACCGGAUAGGAGCUCCUGCUGCAUGGUGGGGGUUGGAAAGUUUCGGCGGUUGGGGAUGGACUCGCGGCUUAUCAGCUUGUUGGUGGGGUAGUGGCUUACCAAGGCUUUGACGGGUAGCCGGCCUGAGAGGGUGACCGGCCACAUUGGGACUGAGAUACGGCCCAGACUCCUACGGGAGGCAGCAGUGGGGAAUAUUGCACAACGGGCGGAAGCCUGAUGCAGCAACGCCGCGUGCGGGAUGACGGCCCUCGGGUUGUAAACCGCUUUCGCCUGUGACGAAGCGUGAGUGACGGUAGUGGGUAAAGAAGCACCGGCUAACUACGUG